AACGAACGCUGGCGGCAUGCCUAACACAUGCAAGUCGAACGAGACCUUCGGGUCUAGUGGCGCACGGGUGCGUAACGCGUGGGAAUCUACCCUUGGGUUCGGAAUAACAGUGAGAAAUUACUGCUAAUACCGGAUGAUGUCGCAAGACCAAAGAUUUAUCGCCCAAGGAUGAGCCCGCGUAGGAUUAGCUAGUUGGUGGGGUAAAGGCUCACCAAGGCGACGAUCCUUAGCUGGUCUGAGAGGAUGAUCAGCCACACUGGGACUGAGACACGGCCCAGACUCCUACGGGAGGCAGCAGUGGGGAAUAUUGGACAAUGGGCGAAAGCCUGAUCCAGCAAUGCCGCGUGAGUGAUGAAGGCCUUAGGGUUGUAAAGCUCUUUUACCCGAGAUGAUAAUGACAGUAUCGGGAGAAUAAGCUCCGGCUAACUCCGUGCCAGCANCCGCGGUAAUGUGACUACUG
rnacentral:rRNA from 1 species